CCGCCGCCGAGUGGUCUGCAGUCCGCCGCAGGCUGCCGGGGCCGUCCCCACGUUCCCGGCCUUCCCGGUCCUCACGUCCCGGUGGCCGUGCUCCGUUGAGCCUGGCCGUGCUGCACUUCUUCUGUGUUGCGCCGUGCGCCCUGCGCCCUGCUGGCCCCCGCCAGCGCGGCCUUCCCCUGCGGCGGUGACGAGCAGAGCAACCGACGAGGCAUCGACGGACUCCUCCCCCCGUGCUUCUGCCGCCGCCGGCUGUGUGUAGCCUGCUGCUGCCUACUGCCGCCGCGGCCACCCUUCCUUACGCUGUUUGACCAGGGUUUAAUAUUUUCCUGACUCCAGUACUGGACGUGAAUGAUGUUUGUUCUGACUUCUGAGCCAGAUCAAGCACAACCUGCCGAUGCCUCCACACUUGCUGACUCGCCCUCUCGCUGACGCCAUCAAGGCUGAACUCGAGAGGCUCUUCCUGGAUAAGGUGGUUGCUAAUCUCGGUCUCUGCGUGUCCGUCUAUGACAUCCUUGCUGUCGAAGGCGGAUUCAUCUUUCCAGGAGAGGGCUGCUUGACGUAUAAAGUAAUUUGUGCUUUAAUUGUUGCCAUCCUGGAGGGAGUACUACUAACUAAUUCUAUAUGUUGUUUAGUAUAUGCUCUGUAAGCUCUGUACAAUAUCAACGCCUAAAAGGGUGACUGCAUCGCUUUGCCAUGCCCUUUAGUUUGUGCAAUUGAGUUGGAUACCUGAAGUUCCAGUAUGUUUAAGUUCUUUCCUGUGCAGUUUCUCAUUGUUGCAUGUAACCCCGGAGCCUUUCUUAGUAGUACCUAGUAUUUGAUUGAUGUGGGUACAUAGAACUAAAACUUUUGGGAUUGAUACAGUAAGUUUGUCACUUAGACACUUAACUGUCUAAUCUCAGUGUUAAACAACUACAGUUUUGAAUAUCAGUAAUUGCCCUCAAUUUUCACUUAUUUAACCGACUAUUUGGUGUCAAGAUCCAGUUUGCCUUGCUGCAGGUUAAUGCUGAUUAUUUCUCUGCCUCAAGUGCGUAGUCUUGCCUUUUCCUAGCUGCUGUGCUACUUGUGUUGAAUGACUCACUGUAAAUAGUAUAUAAAACUUGUACCGUGGAUGCGCUUUCUUCUGACGUUACUGUUAGUACAGAGUUUAUGACCUCGUAAUCUGAGGUUUUAUACAUUCUACAAAUCAUGCUUAGAUUCCCUUUGUUUUCCCCAUCUUGGAGAGGUUUCCUGUAGGUUAUUGAUGUUCAGGCCCUUCAUUGGGGAGGUUCUUGUUGGGAAGGUUGGUGGAUAUGAUGAGAAACAUUUACAAGGUGACUUGUUAUUUU